CCCUUAGAUGUUCUGGGCCGCACGCGCGCUACACUGAUGCUUUCAACGAGUCUAAAACCUGCUCUGAUAGGGGUGGGUAAUCUUUUGAAUGUGCAUCGUGAUUGGGAUAGAUGAUUGCAAUUUUUCAUCUUCAACGAGGAAUGCCUAGUAAACGCAAGUCAUCAGCUUGCAUUGAUUACGUCCCUGCCCUUUGUACACACCGCCCGUCGCUCCUACCGAUUGAAUGAUCCGAUGAAUAUCAUGGAUUGAGGAUGCAAGCAGGUUCGCCUGUCUUCAUCUUCGAGAAGUGAAGUAAAUCUUAUCAUUUAGAGGAAGGAGAAGUCGUAACA
rnacentral:rRNA from 1 species